rnacentral:rRNA from 1 species
GUCUACGGCCAUGCCACCCUGAACAAGCCUGAUCCUAUCUGAUUUUGGAAGCUAAGCAGGGUUGGGCCUCGUUAGUACUUGGAUGGGAGACCAUCUAGGAAGACCAGGUGCUGUAGGCA